rnacentral:RNase_MRP_RNA from 2 species
CCCUCGCCCAACAGAUCGCUAUCGAAGCUACACACAGAGACCGCGAUCUUCGUGGUCUCACUAUCCAGCUUUGGGAGAAAGUCCCCGGACGGCUCUUUCGCCUUUCUCUCGGGAAAGGUCGCAAAGAUGACAGCGGAAACGCACCGCCAUAGAAGCACAGCGGUUUACCUUCACCUUGCGUUCGUUUUCCCGUAACACCAGCGUGCUUCGCAUCCACCCCUCCUACCCGGCUUUGCUGUAAGAAAAUCUAUUCUGCCCACCCGGGCGGUGCCUGACGUCGGUGGUUCUGUUCCGUCUCUCGCCGGCCAUGAGGUCCCCCAUGGACGAAGAUAUGAGUCCGCGGCUUCAUGGCUUGGGAGCUCGGGCGUUCUCUGGCGUCGCCGUGCCCGCUUGGCGGCAGUUUGGAUGGCAGGAUCUCACCGUGGAUCGGACAUUCUGGGUGGGUUAACAUCAUGGGCGCGGGUAGAACACCUUUUGUCGAGAUCGAUAGUUAUGCGAUUGCCUAGCUUUGCUCGACUCGUCGAGCGGCUUGGUUACUCGAUGGGGCUUAUUCUUGGCGCGAGG